GAUGAACGCUGGCGGCGUGCCUAAUACAUGCAAGUCGAGCGAAUGGAUUGAGAGCUUGCUCUUAUGAAGUUAGCGGCGGACGGGUGAGUAACACGUGGGUAACCUGCCCAUAAGACUGGGGUAACUCCGGGAAACCAGGGCUAAUACCGGAUAACAUUUUGAACCGCAUGGUUCGAAAUUGAAAGGCGGCUUCGGCUGUCACUUAUGGAUGGACCCGCGUCGCAUUAGCUAGUUGGUGAGGUAACGGCUCACCAAGGCAACGAUGCGUAGCCGACCUGAGAGGGUGAACGGCCACACUGGGACUGAGACACGGCCCAGACCCCUACGGGAGGCAGCAGUAGGGAAUCUUCCGCAAUGGACGAAAGUCUGACGGAGCAACGCCGCGUGAGUGAUGAAGGCUUUCGGGUCGUAAAACUCUGUUGUUAGGGAAGAACAAGUGCUAGUUGAAUAAGCUGGCACCUUGACGGUACCUAACCAGAAAGCCACGGCUAACUACGUGCCAGCCGCCGCAGUAA
rnacentral:rRNA from 1 species